UUUCUAGUUUUGAGUGAAGAUGUUUACUUCUUGUUCUAGCAAUUCAGCAUUUUCUGUAUUACUGCUUCUUGUGGGCUUGACUUUUUAAUAUGCGCGGGUUGUUCUCAGCUUUAAAAUCCUCCUUUGACUUUCUUCUUUGACUACAAUCGCAGGUGAGGCUUCAUUCUUCAAGUUUCUGAUUAACUAGUUCUGAGAUUGGGUCAAAGUGUUUAUGAUAUUAAUACCUGGGCUAGUAAAAAAGUGCAGAUAAUGUGGCAGAGAAAGUGAUAAGAAUGAAAUUUUGGGAAAAGAAAUUUUGAAGGCUUUUGAAACCAAUAAUUUG
rnacentral:misc_RNA from 1 species